UGGCUGCUCAGUAGUCGGUGUAGGAUCUGUCUGACAUUAUUACCAACAGCUACAUCUGAUUACUGGGUCACCG
rnacentral:pre_miRNA from 13 species